rnacentral:rRNA from 1 species
GUAGGUGGCGAGCGUUGUCCGGAAUCAUUGGGCGUAAAGGGAGCGCAGGCGGGCAUGUAAGUCUUUCUUAAAAGUUCGGGGCUCAACCCCGUGAUGGGAAAGAAACUACAUGUCUUGAGUACAGGAGAGGAAAGCGGAAUUCCCAGUGUAGCGGUGAAAUGCGUAGAUAUUGGGAGGAACACCAGUGGCGAAGGCGGCUUUCUGGACUGCAACUGACGCUGAGGCUCGAAAGCCAGGGGAGCGAACGGGGAUUAGAUACCCCGGUAGUCCUGGCCGUAAACGAUGGAUACUAGGUGUGGGAGGUAUCGACCCCCCUACCGUGCCGGAGUUAACGCAAUAAGUAUCCCGCCUGGGGAGUACGGUCGCAAGACUG